GAUGAACGCUGGCGGCGUGCCUAAUACAUGCAAGUCGAGCGAACAGACGAGGAGCUUGCUCCUCUGACGUUAGCGGCGGACGGGUGAGUAACACGUGGAUAACCUACCUAUAAGACUGGGAUAACUUCGGGAAACCGGAGCUAAUACCGGAUAAUAUAUUGAACCGCAUGGUUCAAUAGUGAAAGACGGUUUUGCUAUCACUUAUAGAUGGAUCCGCGCCGCAUUAGCUAGUUGGUAAGGUAACGGCUUACCAAGGCAACGAUGCGUAGCCGACCUGAGAGGGUGAUCGGCCACACUGGAACUGAGAAACGGUCCAGACUCCUACGGGAGGCAGCAGUAGGGAAUCUUCCGCAAUGGGCGAAAGCCUGACGGAGCAACGACGCGUGAGUGAUGAAGGUCUUCGGAUCGUAAAACUCUGUUAUUAGGGAAGAACAAAUGUGUAAGUAACUAUGCACGUCUUGACGGUACCUAAUCAGAAAGCCACGGCUAACUACGUG
rnacentral:rRNA from 1 species